rnacentral:rRNA from 1 species
UACGUAGGGCGCAAGCGUUGUCCGGAAUUAUUGGGCGUAAAGAGCUCGUAGGCGGUUUGUCGCGUCUGCUGUGAAAACUCGAGGCUCAACCUCGGGCUUGCAGUGGGUACGGGCAGACUAGAGUGCGGUAGGGGAGACUGGAAUUCCUGGUGUAGCGGUGGAAUGCACAGAUAUCAGGAGGAACACCGAUGGCGAAGGCAGGUCUCUGGGCCGCAACUGACGCUGAGGAGCGAAAGCAUGGGGAGCGAACAGG